CCAAUAGCGUAUAUUAAAGUUGUUGCAGUUAAAAAGCUCGUAGUUGAAUUUCGGGGUUAGUAGGUUGGUCGUGCCUUUGGUAUGUACUGGUCUCACUGAUUCCUCCUUCUUGAAGAACUGUGAUGUCAUUAAUUUGGUGUUGCAGGGAAACAGGACUGUUACUUUGAAAAAAUUAGAGUGUUUAAAGCAGGCUAACGCCUGAAUACAUUAGCAUGGAAUAAUGAAAUAGGACGUUUGAUCCUAUUUUGUUGGUUUCUAGGAUUGACGUAAUGAUCAAUAGGGAUAGUUGGGGGCAUUAGUAUUCAAUUGUCAGAGGUGAAAUUCUUGGAUUUAUUGAAGACUAACUACUGCGAAAGCAUUUGCCAAGGAUGUUUUCAUUAAUCAAGAACGAAAGUUAGGGGAUCGAAGACGAUCAGAUACCGUCGUAGUCUUAACCAUAAACUAUGCCGACUAGGGAUCGGAUGAUGUUAAUUUUUUAAUGACUCAUUCGGCGCCUUACG
rnacentral:rRNA from 1 species